GAGGAGAAAGAUUGGAAUUACUGAUAGAUAAAACAGAAAAUCUCAUGGAUUCAUCUGUCACCUUCAAAACAACCAGCAGAAAUCUUGCCCGAGCCAUGUCUAUGAAGAAUCUCAAGCUCACUAUCAUUGUCAUCAUUGUAUCAGUCGUGUUCAUCUAUACCAUUGUGUCACCUCUGUGUGGUGGAUUUACGUGGCCAAGCUGUGUGAAGAAAUAAAAAUAAGAGAAAGUUCUCCUUAACCAAGGAUAUGAGAGAAUGAGGAGUUAAAAGCAAUCCUUGUGAUUCAGGCCUUUUGAUACUGACAGAUGGUAUCUGCCAGUCUCUUCAACCCUCUUCUUUUUAUUUUUUUAAAUCUUGUUCUAUGCCUCCAGAUUUAUCUUUGCCCUGUUAACCAAUUUACUCCAGUGCACUUCAGAUUGAACCAUCUAUUGUGGCGAUAUUCUUAAAAAGGCUUUUUGUUUGUUUCUUGGGUUUGUUAACUAGUGUCAUCUGCUUAGAGAAACAUUUUUGUUUGUCAUUGCACAAAGCUAGCACCAAGAUAGAAACCACUAGUCUUAAGAGCUAAAUUGUGGAUAAACUUUGUAUGUGCACACAGAAGUAUUCAGGAGAGAUAAAACUGUUAACAUCUCAUCUUAAUGUCUUUUGUUAUUGAAGAGUUGUAGGUGCUUGAAAACAAUAUAAAUGGAUAAUCAUUAUUUGGGGAAUUGUAA